rnacentral:lncRNA from 13 species
AGUUGGUCUGACAGAGCCCCAAAUGCAUUCACUGAUUCGCUGUUACACUUUGGCUCCGUGAGCUACACCUCUCUUCUCUCUCUCUCUCCCUCUCUCUCCUUUCUCUCUCUCUCUCCUUUCUCUCUCUCUCUCUCUCUCCUUUCUCUCCUCUUUCUCUCUCCUUCUCUCUCCUUUCUCUCCUCUCUCCUUUCUCUCUUUCUUCUCCUCUGUCUCUUUCUCUCCUGUCUCUCUCUCUCUCCUUUCUCUCCUCUCUUUCUCUCUCUCUCCUCUCCUUGUCUCUCUCUCCUUUCUCUCCUUUCUCUCUCUCUCUCCUUUCUCUCCCCUUUGUCUCUCUCUCCUUUCUCUCCUCUCUCUCUCCUUUCUCUUCUGUCCUCUCUUUGUCUCUCUCUCUCUUUCUCUCUCUCUCUCUCUCUCCUUUCUCUCCUCUCUUUGUGUGUGUGUGUGUCUCUCUCUCUCUCUCCUUUCUCUCUCUCUCUUUCUCUCUCAGCAAUAAUUCACUUAUUUGCAUCAAUUCCAACAGAAAUUGAAUUAAGCAUCUACUAUGUGCCAGGCGCUGGUUUCUGAGAGCUGACAUUUAUCUCAGAGAAAUACAUAAAGGUAAUUUAGCCAGUAAAUACAUGACGUGUUGGAGCGUGAUGAGCACAUUGAAGAAACAAUAGGCAGGAGCUGGGGCUUGGGUGUCUGCAGGGAGAGCGCUGAUCCAUUGAGGUGUAGAUGGGAAGGGCAUCAGAGUAGAGGGCACCUUAAGAGUUGCUUUGCAUUACAUCCUGAUCACGUCCUACAGCCUUGAGCGAAUUACAUAAAGCGUCACUCCUUCAAGCUACCUCAUGGCAAAACUUUGAAAUUGGCACCAAUUUUUUAUUAUUUAUACUUGAAGAUAGGACUCAGUUAGUAUGUGAAUCCAAAUCUAUAAAUGGGGGAGAGUGGUAGGCUUAGUUCGUGUAUUCAAAACGCUGUGCGUCCUCUCAUCCGCAAGUGUACUAGUCAGGGUUCUCCAGAGGCAGCACCAAUGGGACACACGGAGAAGAGAAGUUAAGGAAUUGGCCCACAUGAUUGUGGAGGCUUAAGUGUGAAUCUGCAGAGCUGACCAGCAGGUUGGGAAUUCCAGCAGGAGUUGGUGCUACCGUCUUAAGUUCAGAGACAGUCUGGAGGCAGAAUUCUUUCCUUCUAAGGCACUUCAGUUUUUUCUCUUGAAGAAUUCAACUGAUUGGAUGAGGCCCACCCAUAGGAUGGAGAGUAAUGUGCUUUACUUAAAGUCUACUGGUUAAAAUGGUAAUCGCAUCUUAAAAUUACCUUUAUAGCAACAUCUGGGCUGGUGUUUGGCCAACUAACUGGGCACCUUAGCCCAGCCAAGGUGACACGUAAAAUUAAUCAUCACCGCAUUAAAAAGUGAAUGCAAAGUGACCACAGUAGCAUCCUAAGACCAGGACGAAUAUGAAGUAGGGACAACUCACCUGCUUAACAUUUCACAAAGUCGUCUUUCUCCUCAUUGCGAUGCAAGGUCAUUUUGGUGGUGACAAAGCUGGCAUUUGAAGAUGUCAGUGAUUUCAUCUCUAAGUGACUG